rnacentral:rRNA from 1 species
GAUGAACGCUAGCGGCAGGCUUAAUACAUGCAAGUCGAGGGGCAGCAUGAUUGUAGCAAUACAAUUGAUGGCGACCGGCAAACGGGUGCGGAACACGUACACAACCUUCCAAUAAGUGGGGAAUAGCCCAGAGAAAUUUGGAUUAAUACCCCGUAACAUAACGAUGUGGCAUCACAUUGUUAUUAUAGAUUUUUCGCUUAUUGGUGGGUGUGCGGCUGAUUAGAUAGUUGGCGGGGUAACGGCCCACCAAGUCUACGAUCAGUAGCUGAUGUGAGAGCAUGAUCAGCCACACGGGCACUGAGACACGGGCCCGACUCCUACGGGAGGCAGCAGUAAGGAAUAUUGGACAAUGGACGCAAGUCUGAUCCAGCCAUGCCGCGUGAAGGAUUAAGGUCCUCUGGAUUGUAAACUUCUUUUAUAAGGGACCAAAAAAGGCUUUUCUAAGUCGUCUGACGGUACCUUAUGAAUAAGCACCGGCUAACUCCGUGCCAGCCGCCGCAGUAAUAC